GAGCAGGCAGGCCAGCAGCACGCCGGCCGCAGGAGGACGGACGGUGCGGAGCUGCGGCGCUGGUAACGUUAUUGCUGCGGCGGUUGUUGGCCGCACCUUGCGAUUUAUGGAGGCCACGUUUCUAAGAAUAACAGCUGAUAAUGUCAGCAACAAUGCCUGGCACCAUGUCGCCGGUGAUGGAAAUGCCAGACGGUGUCACGAUGGCACGUGACAGCGGUUAUCUGCCCGCCCGAGCGGGGACAGGCAGUGCCGCUGGGGUACAGCUGAGCACCUAGCUGCUCCUCCGAGGGAAUGAACUUCUCCUCCAGCCCCAAACGCGCGGAGCAGGCAGCGGCGUGGUCAGAAUAGUGAUUAGUCCGCACGUUAAUAACGGCCCAGCCGCACUCGUCAUGCGGCUAACGCAUUGCAGCGUGGCACAGCGGCUCUGGGGAAGCACGGGGGGUCGGUGCCAGCGGCUCCCAGCCCCCCCUCCAGCCGCUGCAGCAGGUAGAUGAGCGCUCCUGAGAGUGGAAACCACCAUCCUGUUCUGAAAUCAUCUUUGUCUGCAUUUAUUGUAUUUGCUUGUUCCAGGGGAGGCCUGCUUCCUCUGCUGCCCGGUGGAGAGGAUUUCCUUGUUGAAAUGCCACCAUAAUAAACACCUGCAUAGUAUUUACUGUUGCCUUGCUGUGUUUUUAACCCUGUAUGGCUUCUUUCGUUUCAAACAGGAACUGACCCACACUUCCCGUUCUUUAUCCAUCCCACAAUAUUCGAGUCAAAACUUAAUGUGGAGACCUGACAGGGUGAUGGCCAUCUGUUACGCUUUUGUUUUCUAGUCCCAGCUAUCGAGGCUUUGUCAGAAAUGACAAGGUCUGUUCUCGCAAAAAAGUCUGAAAUACUGUGACACUCAGAAGCAUUUUCCCACGUGAUCCCCAAAAGUGCGGGCUGAGAUCAUUUACAUCGAGGAGGCACCUGCUCUAAAUGCUUUGAGAGUUUUAGGUCAAACUGCUGACGUUCAGAGGCGUGUUUCUGACGGUGAGCUGCGCCUGCCGCGGGCUGGCUCCGCAGCGUGUGCCUGCUGCCGGCCACCGCUGCGGGACCGUGCGGGGACCGUGCCGGGCUCUUCUCCUCCCGCUCCUCGGCAGGACCGAGGGCACUCAGGCCAGGAGCGCGAGCGGCAUCCGCUUGGCUAUUUCUGCAGGGCUUGAGAAAUAAGCUUUGACGUUCAGGAAAAAACCAAACCCAAAAAGAAAUCAAAGAAGAGAUUACGGAUAAAAAGGAGCAAGCAGAGACAGAGGAGCAGCUGUCAGGAUGGACAAUGAAUGCUGCACAAAAGAAAGGACAAAUCUGCUGAAAAUAAUGCCCAGGAAGCUAAAGCUGCAUUGCUAGUAUGUGGGUAGAAUUGGGUAGAGUUGUAUUUUCUGAAGCAAAUGUAGAAGCUGUUUGGAAAUGUCCAAUAUUUAAAAACAGGAGAGGUAAAUACUAUUUCAUCGAGCUCUUUGGACAUGCUGCAUUUACAUUUUAGGUUUCCCACAUAAAAUGGGGACUUCUUCAUGUGUUCUGCAGGACCGCACGUUUGUACCAUUUAUUUUCUCAGAAGAAGGUGCUGCUGUCCGUGAAGGUGCCAAGGUGUGCCAUUCCCCCGGACUUGCUGUUUUGCAGAACGGUGCUUUCGCCCUCGGCCAGAAAGGAGCAAUGCUUUGGAGAGAGCUGUGAAAAUGGGGAAGCCCGGCGUGCCCACCUGAUGAGGAGGAAGACCGAGAGGUCCCGCGCUGCAGCACAGAGCAGGGGAGCGAGGGGGCAGCGGGGCCGGGGGAGGCUGCACAGAGCACGACGCAGGGCACCCACGCAGGGCACCCACGCAGGGCACCCGCCCUGCCGCGCUCCCGGCCAGCCCCUCGCCGCUCUGCUUGUCGAGCGAGCGCGGCAGCAAGCGUGCGGCGCAGCAGAGCUCCCUUCGCCCCUUACCUGGGUGCGGGGAGGCCGGGGAGACCCCGGCAGCCCCCAGCCUCACCCGCAUGGUUGCACUGACUUCAGUAGCCCUGUGCCAGCGCACAUCGGCUGUGAUAACUUCUGCUGUUACAACGUGUAGGAGAACCACGUUUCUCUAUCCAGUUAGUACUAAGGCACAGCUCUCACUGAAAACUAACUUUACGAAAAUAAAUAGGAAGUAAAACAAUCUAUCACAGAUGUCUGACUUUGGAAGCGUGCUUUGUCAGCACCUUGAGGGCACUGCUCAGCCCUAAUGGCCCUGACCAGCCCCACCUGGACCCCCCCCCUCCGCCCAUGCCCAGGACCCCAUUUCAGCCCAGCCCAGGGCUGCUGCAGGAUGCUGGCCUCCAGUCCUGCCUGAUGCCCAUGGGAGAUGUGACUGAGCCAGCUCGGUAACCUCAGUUGUGGAGGGGUUUCUGCGAGGAGUUGUGUACAUCUAGUUUUCAUCUAGUUCCAACAAGGCAGUCUUAACAGUUUUCAGUAUCACUGCUCAGUGUCAGCUCUUCCAAGGACAAGCUGGAUCCCCUUUGCACCCUGUCUGUUCUGCGUUGGCUUUCCCUGCCUUGCAGAAUUAACACCCCUGGGAGGUGUCGAAGAGCAGCCAUGCUGCACCGGAGACUGGGCACAGGACUCUGCAGAUGGAAACAGGGCUGGAGAGCUGAUCUACCAGAUGCAAGCUGCUGAGGAAGAGAACUAUGUGAGCAACUGAGCCACAGAGGGAUCAAGCCUGCCGUGCACGACAUGACAGACUCAGGAUACUGGUGCUCACCUGCACACCUGGGCACCUUUGCACACCUCUGACCAGGGAAGCCCUCACAGCGAACAGGUUCACCUGAAUUACUGUGAAUUGCCUUCAAGGUUCUGCAUUCCAGAUGGCACCAUGAAAACCGGUUUCGGAAAACUUGCUUUGUGGGCAGCGCACCCUGGGUAGCGCCUGCUCUUCCGUUCUGAAUGCAGGGUGUUUCGGAGCGGUCACGGUGGUGUUUCGGAGCGGUCACGGUGGUGUUUCGGGGCAGUCACUGCGGUGUUUCGGAGCAGUCGCUGCCCAUACAGCAGCCCCUGGAGCAGUUUGCUCUGCAGAUGCUGUACCAAGCCAAGGCCUGCUGGCUGGGCAAAUGCUUCUCACUGCUGCUUGGCUUGGUAUUCGUUUGCUGAUCUGUUUUAGGAGAGCCAUAAAAAUCACCUGUAACCCUCAAUAAUUAUUUUAGUUAUUUCUUCUCAAGAGUUAGCACUAUCAAACAUGCAUGGCCAAUUUUUUUUAUUAUCAAGCAUUUGAGAGAAAGAGAGUGUUUUGUGGUUGAAAUGAAUCACUGGAGUUAUUCACAGAGCACGGAUGUUACGAGCAGAAUCAUUUCAUUAACAAGCAUGGCUGGUAAAACAUAAUUGCUGCUUAAAUUCUUAAUAACUAAGUAAAUCAAAUAUUUACCCCUUAAAAGUGAAUGUUGAUAAGUCCCACAGCAAUGCACUGAUUUACAAGGCCAAUACAAACAUGAUUUAUUUGCACCAUAGUCUUUUAUGAAGAGUUACAAUGGCAUUAACUUCAGGCAAAUAGCUUUUCAGAAAUUGGGACAUACUUACUUGUGACCUUUAAAAUACAAGUUCCAGACUGUGGCUCAUCCACCAGUCUUAAAACCACCAUGUUCCUCUCUCAGAGCACAACCAGAGGGCGGAGAGCGGAAACAAGGGAGUGAAAGAUUCCCCGUGUACACAGCCUGAGCCAAAGGGAAUCUCGUCAGUGGACUUUGACGUUUUUAUCUGGGAACCUUUCAAAUUAUCUGCAAGGCUGUAUGACUCCAAACUCCUCUUCUGCAAAUCAGCUUCCACAAAUUGCAAAUCCUUGCCUGUUUGUGGCAGGAGCGGGGAUGCUAACAGGGAAGGUGGGAGCGGUGCACCCAACCCUUGGCCGGUUUUGCCACCCGAGGGAAGCAUUUCUCGUUUUUCCAGUAAGAAAAAGCCAAGGGCACGCCGUUUUUCCAGUAAGAAAAAGCCAAGGGCACGCCAUUUUUCCAGUAAGAAAAAGCCAAGGUCAUGCCAAGGGAAAGCCCGGCUGCCCCGAGGCAGAGGCAGGGCUGCAGUCCCAGCAGAGGACCCGUUCCAACCCCCCCCGGCGCCCAGGCUGGCCUUGCAGCCGGGACCCCGAGUCCUUCGGCAGCCCCGCUCCUGGAAAGGGCCAGCAGCAUCUGCAGCAAAUGUCGGGAGACUUGUGGGACUGGUCCGGGGCUGUGUGCCGGGAGGAGCUGGGCAGAGGUGCCUGGCUCGGCUUCUGACUGCUGUUCUAAAAGGAGAAAAAAGUAAUGAAGAUGCUCAGGAGAACUUUUAACAAAAGGAAAAGCACCAGUGGAUGUAUAACACAGAAGGGGUGGUUUUCUGUAAGACACUUUGCUCACAAGUAGGAAUUUAAAAACCACGCAGUUACAUUUUUCACCCCAAGAGGUUUUUCUACCAAGGACUCAGAAAACGCAUGUAAGGGGGUGGCCUCAUGUAGCGUCUCAGCACGUUGCUGUGAAUGCCAUGCAGUCCUCGUGCAGGACAGCCUGUCGCAGGAGCAGAGUUAAGCCCAGGAAGGAAAAGCUUUUUUUUUUUUCUCCCAAAUUGAUCUCCUUGGCUUUGGUGUUGGCCAGCUGAAACCUGCUGUUAAAGCUGUGGGCUGGAAGAAGGUGGGGAUGCCAAGAAGGUUUGCCCUCUUGAUUUUGUUAUACACAGAUUGUCAUUUCUGAGCUGCAGGAUAGCUGCAAAAUUUGGGUAGGAAAUUUAGGGUUUUUUUAACGGCUACUUGUGUUGUUUUGCUACUGUAAAUUCUUUCCAGCAUGCUGCGCUAAGGACUGUCAGGAUGUAAAAAUACUCUUUUAUCAGGAGCUAAUUCUG